GACGAACGCUGGCGGCGUGCUUAACACAUGCAAGUCAAGGGGGCCCAGCAAUGGGCAACCGGCGAACGGGUGCGUAACACGUGAGCAACCUACCGAACUGUGGGGAUAGCCGGCCUAACGGCCGAGUAAUACCGCAUACGCUCUCAGAGAGGCAUUUCUUUAGAGAGGAAACCUACGGGACAGAUCGAGGGGCUCGGCGGCCUAUCAGCUAGUUGGCGAGGUAACGGCCACC
rnacentral:rRNA from 1 species